rnacentral:rRNA from 1 species
CUUGUNAGAUUAGCCAUGCACGUCUAAGUACAGCCCUUGUACGGUGAAACUGCGAACGGCUCAUUAAAUCGGUUACGAUUCCACUGGGGCCACUCGCUCAGUUGGAUAACUGCGGUAACUCCGGUGCUAAUACAUGCAACAAAGUCAGAGCCGCCCCUCGCGGGCGCGCUUUGACGCACUUAUUAGGCCUGAAACCAACAUGUGGCGCAAGCCACGUUGGCGGACGACGCCCGAGUAAUUGCCGCUGAUCGCAUGGGCCCCGCGCCCGCGACGCCACCAUCGAGUUUCUGAUCUAUCACGCUGACGUUGGUUCGUGCUCGGCGAACCAUGGCGCUUACGGAUAACAGAGAAUCUGGGUUCGAUUCUGGAGAGGCCGCCUGAGAAACGGCGACCACUUCCAAGGAAGGCAGCAGGCACGCAAAUUACCCACUUCCAAUUCGGAGAGGUAGUGACGAGAAAUACCGAUACGGCACUCGCUAAGAGACGCCGUAAUCGGAAUGAGAGCGACUCAAAAUCCCCAUCGAGGAUCCACUGGAGGGAAAGCCUGGUGCCAGCAGCCGCGGUAAUUCCAGCUCCAGCAGCGUAUGUUUAUAUUGCUGCGUUUAAAAAGCUCGUAGUUGGACUGUCGGACUCGGGAGGACGGUCGGCCUAAGCGCCGCACUGUCCGGACCGUACCAAGCGCGGUCGGCGCCGGCGUCGGCACUUCACUGUGUGGGCGUCGGUCCGCUGCAUAUUCACCUUGAAGAAAGUGAACCGCUCAAAGGGGGCACUGACGCUCGAACGAUACAGCAUGGUAUGAUGGAACAGGCGCUCGAGUCGCUUUGUUGGUGCGCACGACUCGAGCGAAUGAUUAAGAGGGACUGCCGGGGGCAUUCGUACUCGCGGGGGAGAGGUAAAUAUGGUUGGCCAAAGCUGAAACUUAAAGGAAUUGACGGAAGGGCACCACCAGGAGUGGAGCUUGCGGCUUAAUUUGACUCAACACGGGAAACCUCACCCGGCCCGGACACUGGAAUGACAGACAGAUUGAGAGCUCUUUCUCGAUUCAAUGGUUGGUGGUGCAUGGCCGUUCUUAGUUCGUGGAGCGAUUUGUCUGGUUAAUUCCGAUAACGAACGAGACGCACGCCUGCUAAAUAGACGACGUCGGCCUCGUGUCGGCGAUCGAUCGCGCUUCUUAGAGGGACAAGCGGCGCCCAGCCGCGUGAAGCCGUGCGCAAUAACAGGUCAGUGAUGCCCUUAGAUGUUCGGGGCCGCACGCGCGCUACACUGUCGGCAUCAGCGUGACAUCCGCUGCGAAAGCCGUGGGCAACCCGUUGAACCGUCGACGUGCUAGGGAUCGGGGCUUGCAAUUGUUCCCCGUGAACGAGGAAUUCCUUGUAGAGGCGCGUCAUCAGCGCGCCUCGAAUCCGUCCCUGCCCUUUGUACACACCGCCCGUCGCUACUACCGAUCGAAUGGAUUAGUGAGGCCUCCGGACUGCUGCGCGUCGCGGCUUCGUCGUGGCGCGCGGCGGAAAGUGGGACGAACUUGCUCAUUUAUAGGAAGUAAAAGUCGUAACAAGGUUUUCGUAGGUGAACCUGGGNAAAGG